rnacentral:rRNA from 1 species
AUGAACGCUGGCGGCGUGCCUAAUACAUGCACGUCGAGCGAACAGAUGAGGAGCUUGCUCCUCUGACGUUAGCGGCGGACGGGUGAGUAACACGUGGAUAACCUACCUAUAAGACUGGGAUAACUUCGGGAAACCGGCGCUAAUACCGGAUAAUAUAUUGAACCGCAUGGUUCAAUAGUGAAAGACGGUUUUGCUGUCACUUAUAGAUGGAUCCGCGCCGCAUUAGCUAGUUGGUAAGGUAACGGCUUACCAAGGCAACGAUGCGUAGCCGACCUGAGAGGGUGAUCGGCCACACUGGAACUGAGACACGGUCCAGACUCCUACGGGAGGCAGCAGUAGGGAAUCUUCCGCAAUGGGCGAAAGCCUGACGGAGCAACGCCGCGUGAGUGAUGAAGGUCUUCGGAUCGUAAAACUCUGUUAUUAGGGAAGAACAAAUGUGUAAGUAACUAUGCACGUCUUGACGGUACCUAAUCAGAAAGCCACGGCUAACUACGUG